UACGGAGGGUGCAAGCGUUAUCCGGAUUCACUGGGUUUAAAGGGUGUGUAGGCGGGUAUUUAAGUCAGUGGUGAAAUCUCCAGGCUCAACCUGGAAACUACCAUUGAUACUAUUUAUCUUGAAUUUUGUUGAGGUAGGCGGAAUAUGUCAUGUAGCGGUGAAAUGCUUAGAUAUGACAUAGAACACCGAUUGCGAAGGCAGCUUACUAAGCAAACAUUGACGCUGAGGCAUGAAAGCGUGGGGAUCAAACAGG
rnacentral:rRNA from 1 species